rnacentral:rRNA from 1 species
ACAAAGGCAUUGCUUAGUAGCGGCGAGUGAGCGGCAAAAGCUCAAAUUUGAAAUCUGGCGCCUUCGGUGUCCGAGUUGUAAUUUGAAGAUUGUAACCUUGGGGUUGGCUCUUGUCUAUGUUUCUUGGAACAGGACGUCACAGAGGGUGAGAAUCCCGUGCGAUGAGAUGCCCAAUUCUAUGUAAGGUGCUUUCGAAGAGUCGAGUUGUUUGGGAAUGCAGCUCUAAGUGGGUGGUAAAUUCCAUCUAAAGCUAAAUAUUGGCGAGAGACCGAUAGCGAACAAGUACAGUGAUGGAAAGAUGAAAAGAACUUUGAAAAGAGAGUGAAAAAGUACGUGAAAUUGUUGAAAGGGAAGGGUUUGAGAUCAGACUCGAUAUUUUGUGAGCCUUGCCUUCGUGGCGGGGUGACCCGCAGCUUAUCGGGCCAGCAUCGGUUUGGGCGGUAGGAUAAUGGCGUAGGAAUGUGACUUUACUUCGGUGAAGUGUUAUAGCCUGCGUUGAUGCUGCCUGCCUAGACCGAGGACUGCGAUUUUAUCAAGGAUGCUGGCAUAAUGAUCCCAAACCGCCCGUCUUGAAACACGGGGACACA